CUUGGCAUGGGCCAUGACUCGUGAAAGCUAGAACCGAGACUAUUUGCAGGCAGCUCAAUAGGCUACAGAAUCUCUUUUUAGCAGUCGUUACUGCUUACAUAUCCCUGGGAGGAGGGUGGUCUGUGCAUCUGACAAGUCUCAGGGACUUCCCGAUACUUGUCAGUUGUUAACUUCCUGCAUCUUAAUGAGCCUUCCCUUAGAACUUCUCAAGACUGACCCAUCUUCCCUCAGAAAUAGAAAGUUUCAGUUUGGAGGAAUUCAUUACAUGACACCAUCCUAACCUGGAAGACUCCAGACUUCCCCCCUUGAACCUGUAGCUUCUCUUAGAAAGGAUAGUGCUAAGAGCAAUGUCCAGAAGGUGAGGCUGCCCGGGAUGUCCAUAUGCCUUAGCACAGAAAAGGGAAAUGACUCAGCACUUGGAUAAUGAAGUUGUGGUUAGACACAGGGGCGAAAUGAAGCCUUAGCUUGUCACGUGGACCACACUGAUUCACAAAGUGACAGGUAACGGUUUUGAUGAGACUUCACUGUGGCUGCUGAGGUGAAUGUUGGCAGCAAACGGUACCAAUAAUGGUUCAAAUACUGCCUUUGCCACUUGCCAGCUACAUCAUUUUAGAUGUUACUUAACUUCUGUUGUUUUCCUAUUUCGAACAGAGGGUAAAAAUAGAACCUACCUCCUGGGGUCAUUGUGAGAGUUCACUGAGUUAGUGCUGAGAAGGCAGGAAGUUGAUUAAUGUCUGGCUCCAGAGAAACACUCUACGAAGAGAACUGUUUAGUUAGGAUUGUGAUCCACGGGCGGGUUCUCACCUUUUGCCGCAAUGGGUUAGCAGUUUGAUACAGUUCAAUAUUAUUUGAGAGUUCUUGUUGCCUUUUCACAGCGAUAGUUGGGGCAGUGCAGAAAUAACUCCCUGCCAUGUUGAAAGGUCACGGCUAACUGACAAAGGGCUUUUGUGUUUCUUAACAACAUCUGAUUCUGUUUUCUUUUGCUUUACCAUUCUGGGGAUUGAACCCUGAACCUUGAACAUGCUAGGCAAGCUGGACUGAACUACACCCAGAGCCCUUCAAGAAAAAGUGUGAAUCAGAUCUGGGUGUGGUGGUAUGCCCCUGAGGUCUCAACACUCAGGAGCCUGAGGGAGGAAGAGCCACACUUUAGACCAGGCUGGGUUAACUGGGAGUUCCAGGCAAGCCUGGGCAACAUAAACAGAGCCCUUUUAAAAAAUCCCCACGUGCCAAGCCAAGUGUGGCACUGCGCAUCUGGAAGCUCCGUGAAGAUUAGCCUACUAACUCACACCACCUGCCUAAUGCUGCCAAACUGGUGAGCUCCAGGCUCACCAAGAGACUCUGUCUCAAAAGACAAGGUGAGGAAGACAACAUCUGGUGACCUCUGGCCUCCUCACACACAUGCUCCCAUAGACACUUGGCACCGACAUGUGCUAACUUUGGCGGCUUCAAUCCAAGAUUCAUUGGCCAUGUUGCUUUGGGCCUAUGGUAAGGCAGUGCACCGUGGCAUAUGGUGUGGAAGAGCAAACUCUCUAACUUCAAGGCCAGGAAGAAAAGGAGAGGCAAGAAGAGAACAGGCUCCCACAAUUCCCUUUGUGUUUGCAUGACCAGUGACCAGAGGAUAUCCCAUUACGCCCCAACUCCUAGAGGCCCACCACCUCCCAGUGGCGCUGUGUUGUGGAUGAAGCAUUUUCCAUGUGAGCCUUUGGUGACAGUCCAGUUCAAGCACUAGCAACUGCUGUUAUGGCUGCAUGGAAUUGAGAGGUUGGCAGGACUAAGUCUGGGAGAUUCAGCCAGAAAAGUAGUGCUCAAGGGAAUGUGGAGCCCAAGGAAACCAUGAGGAGGUGUAAAGGUUGGAAGGGGUCCUCAGAACGGAGCCAGCCUUGCCCCCGAGGUCAGAACAGAGGACAGGACACAUCCUAGCACAGGUCUGUCUUCCAGAUGUGGGGUGUCGGGGGCAGGAAGGUGGAGAAAGACAGACUGACUAAGCUGACUCCAGAAGUGUCAGAUUGCAGUCAAGACAGCAGGCAAGUGAAUUGGUUUCAACAAAUAACCAGGUGUCAGGAACUGGAGUCACAGACAGCUGCGAGCUGCCGUGUGGGUGCUAGGAAUUGAACCCGGAUCCUCUGAAACAGCACCCAGUGCUCUUAACUGCUGAGCCAUCU
ensembl:lncRNA